rnacentral:rRNA from 1 species
UACGAAGGGUGCAAACGUUAUUCGGAAUCACUGGGCGUAAAGGGUGCGUAGACGGCAUGUUAAGUUCGUUGUUAAAGGCUCCGGCCUAACCGGAGUACCGCGAUGAAAACUGGCGUACUAGAGGGCGAGAGAGAGAAGUGGAAUUCCUGGAGUAGCGGUAAAAUGCGUGGAUCUCAGGAGGAACACUAAUGGCGAAGGCAGCUUCUUGGCUCAUUCCUGACGUUGAGGCACGAAAGCGUGGGGAGCAAACAGGG